UUGACGGGGGCUCAUUCUCUGAGGUGGGAGAGAGGAGCAGACGGGGAAGGCAGUGAGUUCAGCCCUGUACCCGACAUGUGGGGCAGAGCUCCUGCUUUCUGGGGGUUCUGUGGCCUUCUCUGAGUGACGCCCACACAUGCACAUACACACCUACUUCCCCCAGUGCACCUGGGCUAUUCCCCAGCUUGGCAGCUGAUGGGAAGAAUCAGAAAGGGUCUGGAGGGCAGUGGCUGCAUCCUGCUUCAGCCCGAGCUCUACCUUGACCAGUAUCCACAACUGUCCACUGUCCACUGAGUGACCAAGUGAAUGAAUGUGUGCAGCCCAGUGCGACCCGGAGCUCAAAACCCCACUGCUUUGUGCUCCAGGCUGAGCGGUGGAGAUCUGGCUCCUGCCCACUAGC
rnacentral:lncRNA from 1 species